UUUGUACUCCCUCCGUUCGGAAUUACUUGUCAUAAAAAUGGAUGUAUCUACAACUAAAAUACAUCUAGAUACAUUCAUUUCUUGGACGAGUAAUUCCGAACGGAGGGAGUAUUUG
rnacentral:pre_miRNA from 1 species